rnacentral:rRNA from 1 species
GACGAACGCUGGCGGCGUGCUUAACACAUGCAAGUCGAACGGAAAGGCCCUGCUUUUGUGGGGUGCUCGAGUGGCGAACGGGUGAGUAACACGUGAGUAACCUGCCCUUGACUUUGGGAUAACUUCAGGAAACUGGGGCUAAUACCGGAUAGGAGCUCCUGCUGCAUGGUGGGGGUUGGAAAGUUUCGGCGGUUGGGGAUGGACUCGCGGCUUAUCAGCUUGUUGGUGGGGUAGUGGCUUACCAAGGCUUUGACGGGUAGCCGGCCUGAGAGGGUGACCGGCCACAUGGGGACUGAGAUGCGGCCCAGACUCCUACGGGAGGCAGCAGUGGGGAAUAUUGCACAAUGGGCGGAAGCCUGAUGCAGCAACGCCGCGUGCGGGAUGACGGCCUUCGGGUUGUAAACCGCUUUCGCCUGUGACGAAGCGUGAGUGACGGUAAUGGGUAAAGAAGCACCGGCUAACUACGU